AGUAUUUCUUUUACUUGGCUGGUCCCGGGAAGACGGUAUGAGUCCUCACUGUCCGAGGCCAAGCCAAGACGGAGUACAAAUGUAUCCAAGACCGGGAGACACUGUGGUCUCGUACUACAACACUGUUAGUUAGUGCACAUAAAGAUGUAGGCCUAUUCAAUUAAUCUCUCUUGAACAAAUAAAAAAACGGGAAAUUCUGGUGUCCAAUUUUGACUGUAAAAUAUAGCAACUAUAGUCUAAUUGUCAACCAGAAAUUCAUGACAAUCACUGGAUUAGGUUGCACAUCAAAAUCGUUAAUCAUGCAUUCCUUAUAUUUAUUGUUUAACUCCAUAGUCUAUUAUACUUCUUAAUAAAGCACUAUGAAUUACUUUAAGAUUAUUCAUGAUUUGGGUCCAACCAAAUCAUGGGGCUGGUACCAACUGUAAAAGUUAGUGACUCCAGGGGAAAAUGUUAGUCUGGAGCCCUGUAAUAGUAAUGAGCACUUAUGGUAGGUAUUGAUUCAGCAUAAUGCAUUUGAUGGGCAAUAAUUUGCAAUAUAACUUCUAAGUCCUUAGUUUGGGUUUUAUAAAGUAUAAGGCAGACACAAACAGAGAACAAGAAGCACGGAGUAUUGGCAGAGAAGAUUAUACAACUAUUGCUGCUUCUACACAGGCAGCCCAAUUCAAAUUGGUCAAAAGGCCAAUUAGUGAGAAAAAAAGCAAUUACAGUAGCUCUGAAAAAGAGAUGUGAAAAGAUCUGAUGUGAUUGGUCAAAAAUCAGAAUUGGGCUGCCUGUGUAAACGCAGCACAACAGGGAGGCAAACAAAAUAGCUAGAACAGAGACGUGGUUAUAGUGGUGAGUUGUAUCGCCAGUGGUGUUACCGCAUAUUGUAUUUGUUUUAAACAUGAGCUUGUUAAAAAAAAGGAGGACCAUGUCUCGCCAGUCAAUGCUUGGUACAGAAACGAUUGAGAUGCUGUACUGUACUUGCAAUGUUGUCAGCACUACUGCCUGUUUCCAGGGGCGGAGCCAGAGGGGUAUCCGAGGUGACACUGGAAACCCCUGACAUCUGAUUGGCCACCCCAAAAUGUUAUUCGCUGCUGGCAGUUUGAUGCUGAUUGACAUCUCGUUUCACCUCUUGUUGAAAUAAGCAUUUAUUUUGACAUUUGGAGGCACAUAAUUUAAAUUGAGGAAGAGAGAAAAUGAACGUUGGUUGCGAUAUACAGAAGAAGAGAGAAUAUUUCCACAGCUCCACGAGCUCUUUUCGAAAGCAUCAUAUUUAAAAAGCACAAACAGGCAGAUCAGGUGCAAACAGACCCCAGCCCUUUCAUCACCACUGGACCCCAGAGCAGCUCCCUCCCUACCGGAGGCUAGUCAGAGUCAGUGUGGUCAGACUUCACAAGGACCCAGUCUACCACCAGCAGGUCAGAGCAUCUACCAGGCAGUCAGUCACAUUCCCAGUUCAAAAUAUGUAUCAAGGGAUGACACAGAGACCUCUCUGAGCAAGACAGUGAGCCAGAGCUGCCAGGAGAGGUCAUCGAGCACCUCCUAACUGCAUCAAGCACCAGAUAUGCUGUUCCAAGAGGACCCAAUGACAUUUCAAGAUCCAGAGAAGAGGGUCCUGUACAGCCGUGUUUGAAAACAUUUCCCUGAACUCAGCAUGGUACUAUGAAAAGGGCUUUCAACAGCUCCUGGUAUAAGGACAAUUCAUGGCUUGAAUAUUCUGUAAGUCAAGAUUCAACUUAUUGUUUUGCCUGUAGGCAUUUUUCUCUGCCCAAUACACCUGAAUCUGCCUUCACAGUCAGGUUUUUGUAACUGGAAAAAGGCGCUGUUUAAAGAUUCUGGGUUUAAGCUCCAUUCGCAGGCAGAGCAUCAUAUCAAUCCUAGAUAUGCUUGGAAUCAGCAGAAAAGGGCUAUUGACAGCAACUCAUCAAUGUUAGAUGUCAUAAAUGAGGAUCGGAAAAAGAAAGUGGAGGAAACUGUACUUACAUUAAAACAAUUGCAGAUGUGCUCCUAUUAACUCUCUCAAUAUACCGCAGAGAGGUCAUCGAGAGUCUACUGACUCUCACAAGGGUCAUUUUUUGACAAUCUUAGAAUAAAUAGCAAAGCAUGACCCUCUCAUAGAGAAAAGAUGAAUGCAUGUGGCAUUGCUAAGUACACAAGCCACCAAAUCCAGAACAAAGAUCUUGAGGGCUUAGCUGAGGUGGUACAAAGUGAAAUAAUAAGAGAAGUAAAAGAGAAGUUUUUAGUGUAAUUGCAGAUUUUAAAGAAAAAAUAACAAAUGUCUUUAUUUGUGAGGUACUAUUACAACAGGGCCGUCCACAAAAGCUUUUAUCACUUUCAGUCAGCUGAAAGCUUAGAUGCAGCAGGUCUCACAAAAAUUAUAAUUGAUUGUCUUGAAAACAUGUUCUGGACUACAGAAAUAAUCUUGUGGGGCAAGGCUAUGCUGGUGCAUCCGUCAUGAGCGGAAAGCAUUCUGUUGUGUGUGCACGCAUUAAAAACAGUGUAAGAUUUGCAUUUUAUGUGCACUAAUGCACAUUGUUUGAAUUUGGUUCUUGUCGAUGUUUGAAUUUGGUUCUUGUCGAUGCUGUAAAAUCAGUGCCUGAGGCAUUUCACUUUUUUGCUCUCCUGCAGAAGCUUUAUAACUUUGAAUCUGGUAUGUACGUUCAUCUCAAGUGGCUUGCAGUUCAGAAAGAGCUGUAUCCACCAGCAGUCCAGAGAACUACAGAGACUUACGGAUGGAAGGUGGGCAUGCAGAUGCAUGGUAUGCUGUAAUCUGAGGGACAGGCUUCCACUGAGAGUGCUACAGGAUAUCACACUUUAAAAUUGUUAUGAUGGAAGGCCCCUUGCCUCCACUGAUCUUUCUCAGAUUUACAGUUUAUAGGGCUUUUGGUUACCUUAUGUAAAGUGCUUGGUGAUGUUAAAUGUCUUUCUGACAUGCUCCAAUCAAGCUCUCUUGACCUAGCAAGGGCUGUGGAUCUAGUAGGUGCCCUUACAGACACAUUACAGGACUACAGAAGGGAGGCUUACUUUGGACAACUAUGGAAAGAGGUUGAAGAGAUUGCAGAGCGCUGCAAAAUAAGUGUACAGUUUGUAAAAGACAGCCUAAAACAAGCUUAAGAUUUCAUGACUCAUUGAUGAUGAGCACUGUAGGACAGAGAAAUAGUGACCAAAGUGAUGGUGAGAGCUUCCAAAUAGCUAUCUUUUAUCAGGUGCUUGACAGUCUCACAGCUGAGCUGCAGAGGUGUUUUUCAAAGAAGAAUUGUGAGAUAAUGCAAGGGGUCCAGUCUCUCAACCCAAAAGGUACAACGUUCUUGAAUGAGGAGCCUCUAUUUGCCUUUGCUCAGACCUUUUGAGUCAGAUUUAGAGGACCUCAAACAUGAGGUUCAUCAAACCAAGCGGCUUCUUGAUACGAGAGAGAAAAGUGGAAGGGACAGACUGUCUACUCUCCUUGACGUUGUUGUGUUUCUAGAACCUUAUAAAGAGGUCUUCCAUGAGCUAUUUCAAAUUCGUAAGAUUUCUGUUACACCAGUCAGCAGUGCUUCUUGCGAGAGAAGCUUCUCAGCUUUAAAACUGAUUAAAACCCACCUUAGGACAACAAUGGUUGAUGACAGGUUAAGUCACCUCUGAAUUCUCAGCGUUGUGUCAAGGAUGGAUGAGUUUGUGAAACAUUUUGCCAGUUCUCACCAGAACUGUAUAAUUAUGCUGUUUUAAAUCUACCUAGGAUAAUUUGGCCCUUUGGCGGUCCCUCUGGUCAUGAUUAACAUCUGCACUGUGUACUAGCUAGUACACUGACAUUCUAAAAUGAUAAAUCCAAAGGGUAUCAUGUCACACAGAUUU